UGCAUAGCUCAGUCGGUAGUGUGUCAGACUCUUAAUCUCAGGAUCAUGGGUUGGAGUCCCUUGGACAAAA